rnacentral:lncRNA from 1 species
AUAUUUGACGGCUUCAAACUAUGGAAGUGGUACAGCAAUCUUACCUCUAGUGGGAGGCCCGGGCAAGCUCUCCCAUGCACGCGCAGGAGUUACCACUUUCUGUGGUGGGGAUGGAAGGAGUUGCUGUUUUCACUUCUGGGAGUCUCACCAGGGAUGAGAACGGCAGAACCAAGAUCAUGCAGUGGCUGCUCGAUUUAUUGAAGCCAGUCUGGGAAGAGCAGGAAGCUGAUACGGCUGGAGGAGAAGGAAAAGAAACAGUGAUCAGAGGGAUGUGGAGGGACACGUAGUCUGGUGAGUCACAGUGAGAAUGUGCUUAGCCAAGGAGAGUGUGGGUCAUAAGGGGUCAUGAGAAGCUGUUUAACAGGACCGUCUGCUAGACAGACUCAUGAUUCCCAGAGACUAGUCCCCAGAGUGCUCUGGAAGAGGGAACGGAUGCUGCUACUUGUGAUCCUUAAGAUUAUCCUGGGCUGUCUUGAUGGCCCCUGCGUAUUCAUAAACAUCCUUAUAAGGAAAGACAGACAGGUCAGAUGAUGAGUCAGAGAAGGGACAGUGAGAUGGCUCAGUCCAUAUCGCCAGAUCUGAGCAUGAGCGAGGGAAGGAGUCACGAGCUGUGCUGGUCUGUGUCACUUGUCAAGUUGACAGAAUCUAGAACCACAUGGGAUCCUGAGCAAGCCUGCCAGGGAUUAUCUUGAUUAUGUUGAUGGAUAUGGGAAGGCCUAUUUUAGCUGUAGAUGAGACUGUAUAAGGGGAGAGAAACAGAGAGACAGAGAGACAGAGACAGACACAGAGACAGAGACACAGAGGGAAUUGAGCAGCAGCAUGUGUGUGUUCGCUGCUCUCUUCUGACUGUAAACAUAAUGUGAGCGGCUGCUUCAAGCUUUUGCUGCCUUCACACGGCUGCCAUGAUGGAUGGUAUCUUGAACUGUGAGCUAAAAGCCUUUCUUAUUUCUGAGUUCUAGGCCAGCCUGGUCUACAGAGUGAGUUCCAGGGCAUCCAGUGCUACACAGAGAAAACCUGUCUCAAAAACAAAACCAAAACAAAACC